UACCUGGCGGCGUGCUCACCAUGCAUGUCGAGCGAGAAAGCUUCUUCGGAAGUGAGUACAGCGGCGAACGGGUGAGUUACGCGUGAGAAUCUACCUUUUAGUGAAGGAUACCCUUGAGAAAUCGAGGUUAAUACUGCAUAAGUCCCUUCGGGGAGAAAGAUGGCCUCUUUGCUGUCGCUAAAAGAUGAGCUUGCGUGCUAUUAGCUAGUUGGUAGGGUAAAGGCCUACCAAGGCGAUGAUGGCUAGCCGGCCUGAGAGGGUGUACGGCCACACUGGAACUUAGACACGGUCCAGACUCCUACGGGAGGCAGCAGUGAGGAAUCUUGCGCAAUGGGCGAAAGCCUGACGCAGCGACGCCGCGUGGAGGAUGAAGGUCUUUGGAUUGUAAACUCCUGUUAAGUGGGAAGAAACGUCUGUUUUUAAUAGAAGCAGAUAAUGACGGUACCAUUAGAGAAAGCACCAGGCUAACCUCGUGCCAGCAGACGAGGUAAUACGAAGGGUGCAAGCGUUAUUCGGAAUUAUUGGGCGUAAAGGGUGC
rnacentral:rRNA from 1 species